UAACACAUGCAAGUCGAACGCAGUAGCAAUACUGAGUGGCAGACGGGUGAGUAACAUGUGGGAAUCUGCCUUGUGGUUCAGGACAACAUUGGGAAACCGAUGCUAAUACUGGAUAAGCCCUUACGGGGAAAGUUUUAAUGCCAUAAGAUGAGCCCGCAUUUGAUUAGUUAGUUGGUGAGGUAAUGGCUCACCAAGACAAUGAUCAAUAGCUGAUCUGAGAGGAUGAUCAGCCACACUGGGACUGAGACACGGCCCAGACUCCUACGGGAGGCAGCAGUGGGGAAUCUUGCACAAUGGAGGAAACUCUGAUGCAGCGAUGCCGCGUGAGUGAAGAAGGCCUUUGGGUUGUAAAGCUUUUUUGUAGGGGAAGAUAAUGACUGUACCCUAAGAAUAAGGUCCGGCUAACUUCGUGCCAGCAGCCGCGGUAAUACGAAGGGACCUAGCGUAGUUCGGAAUUACUGGGCGUAAAGCGCGCGUAGGCCGUUGAGUUAGUUAAUUGUGAAAUCCCAAAGCUUAACUUUGGAACUGCAAUUAAAACUGCUCGACUAGAGUUUGAUAGAGGAAAGCGGAAUACAUAGUGUAGAGGUGAAAUUCGUAGAUAUUAUGUAGAACACCAGUUGCGAAGGCGGCUUUCUGGAUCAACACUGACGCUGAGGCGCGAAAGUAUGGGUAGCAAAGAGGAUUAGAUACUUCUCGUAGUCCAUA
rnacentral:rRNA from 1 species